GUUUAGUGUUCCCAUUGUGUCAACCACUUUGUGUUCCCCUUGUUUGUAUGUAUGCAUUGUGACGUGGCGUUGUCUGUACUGGUUGUGCGUUGUGUUGGUAUGUGUUCUCUAUUUUCGUUAGUGUCUGAGAGGAGAAUGCGUGUGUGUAUGCCUCAUACAGUCAUGCUUCAACAAUUGUGAAGGUUAUGGUUUGGUCUGAUGUUUGCAUGCAAUGACGUGUGUUGUCU